GCAUCUUUAUCAAGCAGGUACAAUACCCGCAAGGCUUAGAAGGUGAGGGUGAGAAAAAAAAUUUGUAUAAAAGGAGAGAGAAAAGGAUACAGACAUCAGUUGGGUGAGCAUCACCGACACGGCAACAACUGCUGUGGACUGCCUGUACCAACUAGCUUCUUCAUCACAUUACCAGCUCGCAACAUUUGUUCGCAGUUAUUGUGUACCAAUUUCUUUUGGGUACGGAUACCAAACAUGCCGACGCCCUACUACACAACAACAGCAUACGCUUCAGCCGGUUAUUACACCAUCAAGGCUCCAGUGAAUUACACCACAACUUAUGAUGCCCCGACCUACUACACCGACGUCCUGAAUUAUAGUUAUCCUUCAGUUGCUGCAAGCAUUAACUGGCUUCGUGAUGCUGUUGAAUGCUAUAUCGUUGCUGGCUGAGUCGACCACUGGUGUACCGAUGUCCCCUGGGUAUGGCGGAUACCAAGCCGCAACGCUGCUGUCUUACUACACAACAACAUAGGUGACGACGUGUUACUACACCGUGCCGUCCAAUUACUACACCGAAAAGGCGGAAUAUUACACAAGGACGUAAGCUACCCCAGUUUACUACACCGAGGAAUCUGUGUAUUACUCUGCUCUGAGCUACAACAGUGGCUCAUGUUUACCACACCACCAUCGCAUCUGAAUGUUACAUGCAUACUACGCUGCCCUCAACUACUACACUGAAGCUUCGAAGUGGUACACCAUGAAUGAACAACCAAUUUGCAAGCAAGGUUAUUUGGUGAUGUGUUGCUGUUGAAUUUUGUAUCUUUGAUGCAUAUGACCGUUGGUGUCGUGAUUUUUCCUGGCAACGCUACUGUCUUGCUACAUAACAUACGUUACGACCUGUUACUACACCGGGACUUCCAACUAUUACACCGAAAAGGCUGAAUAUUACAUAAGUACAUGUGCUUCCCCAGUUUACUACAUCGAGUAACCUAAGCAUUGCUCUGCUCCCAGCUACAACAGAGGCACUGUUUACUACACCACCAUCGACCCCGAUUGUUACGCUGCCCCCAACCGCUACAUUGAAGCUCCGAAGUACUACACCAUUGAAGAUUACUAUGAAGUUGUGCUGCUGUUGGGUGUUGUAUCGUUGAUGGCUGGGUUUACCAUGAGUGUACCGAUGUCUCCUGGGUAUGGUGGUUUUCAAGUAUUAGCAGCUAUAGAAUAGAACACCAGGUUGCUGCCUCACUACUUAACAACAACAACAUACGCAACACCUACUCACUACACUGAUGCUCGUAAAUACUACACCUCCAAGGCUCCAAGAAUACUACACGGAUAUCUACGCAGCUCCGAGCUACUGAACGGAAGUAUCACUCUGCUCCGAGUUACAUUAACAAAACGUCUGAAUACUACAAUGAAGAUCUUAAAUACUACACCUCCAAAGGCUGUAGCUUAUUAAACUACCAAAUCGGUCGAGUACCGAGGGGGUCCAAGUACUACCCCUUAACCAACAACUGCCAUAAUCGGAUGAAAUGUUCGCAAUCAUGGUUAACUGUGGUGUUGUGCUUCCGGUCUAGGAUUGUAUCGUUGAAAGCUGGGUUGAUCAUUGGUGUGCUGAGGUCCCUGGAUAUGGCGGUGCAUCACUAAAGUGGUAAAGUGCAUCACCAAAGAGCCAGCAAAUUACAUCGAGGUUUUGAAGUACUACAACACUAAGGCACCGGAAUACUACACUACGCAUACUGCCCCUGCCUACUAAACCGGGGUCCUUAAUUACAACAACAACCGGCGACAAUUGCACUCUUCCUUUUCUCAAUGAAAGUUAACUGGCUUCGUGAUGCUGUUGAAUGCUAUAUCGUUGCUGGCUGAGUCGACCACUGGUGUACCGAUGUUUCCUGGGUAUGGCGGAUACCAAUCCGCGACACUGCUGUCUUACUACACAAGAACCUUUUGUAACGAUCUGUUACCACACCGGGACUUUCAACUACUACACCGAAAAGGCAGAAUAUUAUACAACUACGUAUACUACCCCAGCUUACUACACCGAGGAACCCAAGCAUUUCUCUGCUCCGAGCUACAACAGAGGCUCCUGUUUACUACACCACCAUCGCCCCCGAGUGUUACGCCGGCGCCAACCGCUACACUGAAGCUCCGAAGUACUACACCAUGGAACUGUAACCAAUUUGCUAGCAAGGUUAUUUGGUGACGUGCUGCUGUUGAAUCUUGUAUCUGUGAUGUAUAUGACUGUUGUAGUGAUGUUUCCUGGGUACUUCCAACUACACUUACACAACCCGUAUGGCCCUAGUAGGACGGACGUAACCCCAGUUUACAACACCGAGGAAUCUAAGCUGAAACAUAGGCUCCUGUUUCCCCAACCGCUACAUUGCAGCUCCGAAGGACAGCAUUGAAGGAAAACCAAUUCGCAUUCAUAGAUUAUUAUGGUGUUGUGCUGUUGUUGGAUGCUGUAUCGUUGAUGGUUGGGUUGACCACGAGUGUAUGACGGUUUAGUGUAUCACAACGCCACCUACCUUGCUACACAACUCAAAUCACCAGUUACUACUCCGGGAUUCUCUAUUAUUACACCGAAAAGGCCGAAAAUUACACAUCCACGUAUGCUACUCCAGUCUACUACACCGAGGAAUUCAAGUGCUACUGUGCUUCGAGAAACGACAAAGGUUGCUGUUUACUAUACCACCAACGUCCCAGAAAAUUUAAGUACAACCUACGCUACCUACAGCUGCACUACAACUAACACCAUCAAGGCACAACCAUUCUGCAAUCAUGAAUUAAGACCUCGAGAUAUUCAAAUACUACUGUGCUCCAAGACACAAGAGAUGUUGCUAUUUACUACAUCACCAACACUGCUUUACAACCUACACUGCACACAACUCAACUGAAGCUUCUAAGUACUAAACCAUCAAAGACACAACCAAUUCGCAAUGAAUAAGUAAAUAAACUGUGAUAAACUGCUGUUUAUUUUUUAUCUUUUAAGUUACUUUUCUUUAAAUGAAUUUUAUAUCAUUCUUCA